GAUGAAGAACGGCAGCGAAAUGCGAUAAUUAAUGUGAAUUGCAGAAUUCCGUGAAUCAUCGAGUCUUUGAACGCACAUUGCGCCUCAUGGCAUUCCGUGAGGCAUGCCCAUCUCAGCGUUAGAAAAUAUUCUCAAAUUUUAGUUUUGUGCUAAAAUUUGGAUCAUGUCAAGGAAGCUAUUACUAUUAUUGUGAUCGCUCUUUGGAAAUUGAUAGGUCUUUGAGUUGCUACUCAUAGAACGUGAUGAAUCUUUCUUCGUUCUAUUGUAAUUCACUCUGGUAGUCCUAAAACUUGUAUGCCUGUGGCAUAUCUUGUAAUUUGACCUGAGAUUGGGUAGGGAUACCCGCUGAACUUAAGCAUAUCAAUAAGCGGAGA
rnacentral:misc_RNA from 1 species